GACGAACGCUGGCGGCGUGCCUAACACAUGCAAGUCGAGCGGGGUCCAACCGGUGGCAACACCGGGGAAACCUAGCGGCGAACGGGUGAGGAACACGUGAGGAACCUGCCCCGAAGUCUGGGAUAACACCGGGAAACCGGUGCUAACACCGGAUAUCCUCUCCUCGGCGCAUGCCGGGAAGAGGAAAGGUUACGCUUCGGGAGGGUCUCGCGGCCUAUCAGCUUGUUGGCGGGGUAACGGCCCACCAAGGCUACGACGGGUAGCUGGUCUGAGAGGACGACCAGCCACACUGGGACUGAGACACGGCCCAGACUCCUACGGGAGGCAGCAGUGGGGAAUCUUGCGCAAUGGGCGAAAGCCUGACGCAGCAACGCCGCGUGCGGGACGAAGGCCUUCGGGUUGUAAACCGCUUCAGCAGGGACGAAACUGACGGUACCUGCAGAAGAAG
rnacentral:rRNA from 1 species